CACUAAAAGGUGUCCAUAUCAUAGUAGUGCCUUGUUAUGUCACAGCAUGAAUAUGGACUGUGAGCAUGCUAGGGAGUGUGCAUGUCACCAGGCAGUGAGCCUGGGAACAGGCGGCAUCCACAUGUACAGGGUAUCUCUGCCCGGAUGCUUUCCUGAAGUUGGCUGAUGUCCUGUUCAUUGAAUGACUGCUCUGCAUUUGGUGAAGCCUGGCACAUCAUGGUAUCUGAUACCUCAGAGGUUAUAGGUGUACAAGAGUCUGUUUCUUGAGAUGUGCUGCUGUCUCCAUUUUGGGAGCCUAGGAAACUAGGUUCCUGCUUCAAAUUUUGGACAUCACAGUCAUUAGCAUUAUGUAGAUCCUCCUUAAGCCUCAAUGUUUCUUUAUUACUGUUUUCAGUAUAAUUAAUGAUUUCAGUUACUCCAUUGCAAUUAAUUUCUGGUGCACCACCCUCUACACCACGUUCCAUAAGUGUUUGAUCCUGGUCAAUGGUACUUGACUCUUCUAAGAACAAACAGACAAAAAGGAUGUAUGUGUUAUGUGUAUGAGUAAAAGAACAAAAAAAUUUUCUCCACAAGAUUAAAACGUUUUCUAGAACUUACACAGGGUGACAUAAAAACAUGACUGAACAUCUACGACCUAUUUAUGGAAGGACAAAGAUCUUAUCCUUAUUCAAUUGCAAAAUGAAGUCUAUGUUGCAUUUCCAUAGAAAAUUCAGAAAUUACAUUUAAAUAUUACCUGCCUGACAUUUAUGAAGGUUCUGUACUCUUACUGUAUAAGGACACCCCCAGAGAUGUGCUGUAUGCAUGAAACCAGUAAUAUUAUAGAACAAUGAUAAAUUAAUGUUAAAGUAAA